rnacentral:piRNA from 1 species
UGUCAAUACAAGUUGGAUGGGUGUCA